rnacentral:rRNA from 1 species
GACGAACGCUGGCGGCGCGCCUAACACAUGCAAGUCGAACGAGCGAGAGAGAGCUUGCUUUCUCGAGCGAGUGGCGAACGGGUGAGUAACGCGUGAGGAACCUGCCUCAAAGAGGGGGACAACAGUUGGAAACGACUGCUAAUACCGCAUAAGCCCACAGCUCGGCAUCGAGCAGAGGGAAAAGGAGCAAUCCGCUUUGAGAUGGCCUCGCGUCCGAUUAGCUAGUUGGUGAGGUAAUGGCCCACCAAGGCGACGAUCGGUAGCCGGACUGAGAGGUUGAACGGCCACAUUGGGACUGAGACACGGCCCAGACUCCUACGGGAGGCAGCAGUGGGGAAUAUUGCACAAUGGGGGAAACCCUGAUGCAGCGACGCCGCGUGGAGGAAGAAGGUCUUCGGAUUGUAAACUCCUGUUGUUGAGGAAGAUAAUGACGGUACUCAACAAGGAAGUGACGGCUAACUACGUGCCAGCAGCCGCGGUAAAACGUAGGUCACAAGCGUUGUCCGGAAUUACUGGGUGUAAAGGGAGCGCAGGCGGGAAGACAAGUUGGAAGUGAAAUCCAUGGGCUCAACCCAUGAACUGCUUUCAAAACUGUUUUUCUUGAGUAGUGCAGAGGUAGGCGGAAUUCCCGGUGUAGCGGUGGAAUGCGUAGAUAUCGGGAGGAACACCAGUGGCGAAGGCGGCCUACUGGGCACUAACUGACGCUGAGGCUCGAAAGUGUGGGUAGCAAACAGGAUUAGAUACCCUGGUAGUCCACACUGUAAACGAUGAUUACUAGGUGUUGGAGGAUUGACCCCCUCAGUGCCGCAGUUAACACAAUAAGUAAUCCACCUGGGGAGUACGACCGCAAGGUUGAAACUCAAAGGAAUUGACGGGGGCCCGCACAAGCAGUGGAGUAUGUGGUUUAAUUCGACGCAACGCGAAGAACCUUACCAAGUCUUGACAUCCCUUGACGAUGCUGGAAACAGUAUUUCUCUUCGGAGCAAGGAGACAGGUGGUGCAUGGUUGUCGUCAGCUCGUGUCGUGAGAUGUUGGGUUAAGUCCCGCAACGAGCGCAACCCUUAUGGUCAGUUACUACGCAAGAGGACUCUGGCCAGACUGCCGUUGACAAAACGGAGGAAGGUGGGGAGGACGUCAAAUCAUCAUGCCCUCUAUGACUUGGGGUACACACGUACUACAAUGGCGUUAAACAAAGAGAAGCAAGACCGCGAGGUGGAGCAAAACUCAGAAACAACGUCCCAGUUCGGACUGCAGGCUGCAACUCGCCUGCACGAAGUCGGAAUUGCUAGUAAUCGCAGAUCAGCAUGCUGCGGUGAAUAAA